rnacentral:rRNA from 1 species
AGUGAACGCUGGCGGUAGGCCCAACACAUGCAAGUCGAACGGCAGCACAGUAAGAGCUUGCUCUUACGGGUGGCGAGUGGCGGACGGGUGAGGAAUACAUCGGAAUCUACUUUUUCGUGGGGGAUAACGUAGGGAAACUUACGCUAAUACCGCAUACGACCUACGGGUGAAAGCAGGGGAUCUUCGGGCCUUGUGCGAUUGAAUGAGCCGAUGUCGGAUUAGCUAGUUGGCGGGGUAAAGGCCCACCAAGGCGACGAUCCGUAGCUGGUCUGAGGGGAUGAUCAGCCACACUGGAACUGAGACACGGUCCAGACUCCUACGGGAGGCAGCAGUGGGGAAUAUUGGACAAAGGGCGCAAGCCUGAUCCAGCCAUACCGCGUGGGUGAAGAAGGCCUUCGGGUUGUAAAGCCCUUUUGUUGGGAAAGAAAAGCAGCAGGUUAAUACCCCGCUGUUCUGACGGUACCCAAAGAAUAAGCACCGGCUAACUUCGUG